rfam:Mycobacterium xenopi 3993 GMX3993.contig.23, whole genome shotgun sequence.
GGCCAGUUUCUUCGGGGCGGAGCUCGACCGCCAACACAAGAAAUAGUCGAGUUCAUCGACGCCAACCGCGACGAGUUCGGGGUGGCCCCG